AUACCUGGAGCACGGGAAGGACCAGCUGCUGCGCACAGAUCCCCCAAAGGCACAUGUGACCCAUCAUCCUGGACCUAAAGGUGAUGUCACCCUGAGGUGAGCCUCCUCCUCAGUCCACUGUCUUCAUCAUGGCAGUCAUUGCUGCUCUGGUUCUCAUUGGAGCUGUGAUCAUUGGAGCUGUGGUGUUUUUUGUGAGGAAGAGGAGAAACUCAGGUGGAAAAGGAGGGAACUAUGCUCCAGCUCCAGGCAGGGACAGUUCCCAGAGCUCAGAUGUGUCUCUCUCAGAUUGUAAAGCUUGAAGAUAGCUGCCUUGCAUGGACGGAGUGGCAGACAAUGUGUUCAGCCCUCUCCUGUGACAUCCACGGUUGACUCUCUGCAGCUGUGUCUGAUGUUCCCUAUGAUUCUAUGGGCUCAAUGUGAAGAAUUGGGAGCCCAGCACAGCCCAGCCCUGCACACCAGGACCCUGUCCCUGCACUGCCUGUGUUCCCUUCCAUGGCCAACCCUUCCUGUUCCAGUAGACAGGAGGGGACAUCUUCAUCCUGUCACCUCCGUGCUACCUUGAGCUGCACCCCUGACUUCCCCACUGAAAAUAAGGAUCGCAAUUUGAACUUGAUUGUUCUCACCCUUGAUCUGACAGGUUGAUUAUCUGUUAAAUAAAUUAUUGAGAUACUUAUGA